GUGCUCGCUUCGGCAGCACAUAUACCCAAAUUGGAACGAUACAGAGAAGAUUAGCAUGGCCCCUGCACAAGGAAAAAUGAGUAUUUUCCUAAUUUU
rnacentral:snRNA from 1 species